UUCAUGUUUGCGACGGACGAGAACCUUCGACUCCUCAGCCAGUACGCUGACUGGUUCGCCGAUGGCACUUUCGACGUCUCGCCGUCGCUCUUCCAUCAGGUCUGUACCAUCCACGGACUUGUUCAUGGCAAGGUGCUACCGCUAGUCUACUUACUGCCUGAUGACCAAACGGAGCCAGGAAGCCUACGGGCGCGUUUUCAGGACACUCAAGGAACUUUGCCCCCGACUGUCACCUCAGACGUUAAUGAUGGAUUUUGAAGUGGCGGCCAAGCGAGCUUUUCAGUCGGUGUUCCCGACAGCCAAAGUGACGGGCUGCUUCUUCCACCUAAAACAGUCGUUUGUUCGUCGGAUGCAGGAGGAGCACCUCAUCGUCAGAUAUCGUGAGGACGGUGACUUCCGAAGAAGAGUGAGCAUGAUACCGGCACUGGCGUUUGUUCGACCCGGUGACAUUGCGCGAGGACUGGAAGAGCUCCAAGACGAUGCUCCCUCAACAGACGACGGCCUCAACAAAAUGUUCGAUUACUUCGAGAGGACGUACGUGGGCUCCAGCAUCGGAAGGAGCCGCUCGCGUAGGCCAGCACUUUUCCCGCAUGACUUCUGGAGCUGCUACGAACGGAUCACCGAAGGGCUCCCGAGGACCAACAACCACGUCGAGUCCUGGCACAAUGCAUUCCAGAAGUCCUUGGGGCUGCAUCAUCCGGACACGUACAAGCUAGUGGCCGCAUUCCUAAGGGAGCAGAGCUUGACAGAGCAGAAGCUGGCAGAUGUACUUCGCGGAGAGCCUCAAAGGAGCAGCAAGGCCACCUACGUCCGCGUAGCAAAGAAUCUGAGCAAGCUGGUUGAAGAGUACGACCAAAGGUGCAUGCUAGAGUACCUCCGCGGUGUCGCGCAAUCAUUCAGUCUUUGAAAAUUUUUUUUAGUACUAUGGAACGGAAAUUGAUAAACAACUAUAUUUCCGAAACUCUGUAUCUUGCGUCUUCAUUACUAGUUUGCGGAAAUUGUAUUUUUUAGACUUCCCACAGGUCUGCGU